rnacentral:rRNA from 1 species
CCUACGGGCGGCAGCAGUGGGGAAUAUUGGGCAAUGGGCGCAAGCCUGACCCAGCAACGCCGCGUGAAGGAAGAAGGCUUUCGGGUUGUAAACUUCUUUUCUGAGGGACGAAGAAAGUGACGGUACCGCAGGAAUAAGCCACGGCUAACUACGUGCCAGAAGCCGCGGUAAUACGUAGGUGGCAAGCGUUAUCCGGAUUUAGUGGGUGUAAAGGGCGUGUAGGCGGGAAAGAAAGUCAGAUGUGAAAACUCAGGGCUCAACCCGGAGCCUGCAUUUGAAACUGUUUUUCUUGAGUGCUUGGGAGGCCAUCGGAAUUCCGUGUGUAGCGGUGAAAUGCGUAGAUAUACGGAGGAACACCAGUGGCGAAGGCGGAUUGCUGGACAGUAACUGACGCUGAGGCGCGAAAGCGUGGGGAGCAAACAGGAUUAGAUACCCCAGUAGUC